GGUUGAAGGAGGAUGCUUUUGUGGGCCAGGCUGCUCUCAGCCUGCCCACACUUUGGGGAUCCCAGAAUGCCUUGCUCCUCCCGGCUGCACUAAAAAGAAGGCAGUAGUAGCAGUGAGCAGUUACGUCUUCACGGAAGAUUUCUUGGUUUGCUGUAGUUUGCCAUCUGGCUCCUUUUCUCCAGUGUUCAGGGCAAAGAGGAGGAUUCUCAGGGUAAGUAUACUGCCUUGAAAGGUUUGUCAAUAUAGAUCUACAUUC
rnacentral:lncRNA from 11 species